UACUCAACUAUGACAAUUGAGUUAUUUUUCCACCACAGUACUUAAGUACAUUUAAAAUCUAAUACUUUUAGACUUUUAUUCAAGUAUAAUUUUACUGGGUUACUUUCACUUGAGUCAUUUUAUAUUAAGGUAUCUUUACCUUUACUCAAGUAUGAUAUUUUAAUACUUUUUCAACCUUGUCUAAAUGGAUUUGAGUGAAACGUUUUGUUUCAUGGCGACUAGGCCCAUUCACACCUCCCUGGCCUACAGAACCUCUGCCAUCAACAGACUAAAUCAUCCACCUUUCCAUCAGUUGCUGACUACAGAGGCAAGACACUUCCAAACUCAUCUCUGUAACCUCCUCCUGUCCCAUGGGAAACAGAGUGUCCAGCGGCCACAUGUCCCACCCUCUUGGGAACCUGUCCUGGGGCCGCCGCAAGGAGGACACGGUCAAGCUGGAGGACUUCCUGGCCAAGCAGGAAGAGGAUUUGUUGGCGGCCCCCAAGCAUGGCUGUGCCGGGAACAAGCUGCAGCAUCUCGUUAGGAGCAGCUGCAUCUGUUACGUCCACCUGCCCAUCCCAUGCCCUCAGACCAGCAGAUUCUGUCUUAACAAGGGAGAGAUGUGCAACCCAGCCUUUGUGGAAGACUGUUUACCAUGGACAGCUAUACAGUAAAGAAGUGAACACUGGAAGAAUACCUCUAUUCGAAUAUUGGGACAAGCUUUCAAAUUUAACUAAGUCUGUUGGGACAUUGAAAGUCGAGACACCAAUGCCUUUAGGUCAAGACUUACUAUACACUUGUUUUUACUCUAUUUAAUUAUGUUUAAUUUAGUUAGGUAAAUAUGUACACACUGGAUAUUGUUUCACCUCAUUUGUUGGAGAUGGAAUUUCCCAGCCGACUCCAAUUUGCACAUGUAAGUCAGGCUUUCCUCUUGACCAUAUGACUACAGUACCCAGAAUAUGAAUAUAUCAGAUAUGUUACAUAGACAGACCAUGAGAGGGAGCAAGAGGUGGUGUGAAAAGAGUAGGCCUACACGAGCCCUUUGGUCUGAUUAUCUACUGUUUUCUCUCUCUCUCACUCCCCAAGAAUACAUAGAAUAAUGAAGACACUUCCUGUGUAGGCUACUACAUGCAACACAUAGCCACUGAAAGACAUAAAUAGGACACCCAUGGGUGUUUUGAUAGUGAUAGCAUCAAAGGGGCAGGCUACACUCAGGAAUACAAUAAACUGUUACAGCAUUUGUGUUCAGCACAUUCUUUACUUGUAAUCUGUUAAUCCCUAAAUGUUACGACAGGCUUCAUUGAUAUUCCUGCAUGCAUCACAUGGGUGGAGUGAGAUUUUUGGAUUAGCAGACACUAGUGAUCGCGGGUCAGUAGCAAUGCAUGGGUAAAUUCAGUGGGCAAGCCAAGCCAGUAAAAAAAGCCAUAUUACAACCUGUUGUGAUAAUUGCGUUGUUUGCAAUACAACCCAGUAGAGAG
rnacentral:lncRNA from 1 species